CAUCACCACCACCACAGGCCCAUGGGGAGUACUGCCAGGCGACUGCAGAUGUUCCCUUAAAGACCCAAGGACUCUUCACUCAGCUUGCUGCCUGGCCUGAGACUCACCCUUCAGGGAAAUGAGCUCCCCUAUGGUCCAAGGAGGUGAUGAUCCGUGGAGCCUUCUAUUAGGCUGUCUUGUUCCCCAAGUCAUCUGAAUUGAAGCGUAAAUAAAUAAGAUGGGCAUCUGGGGAGAGUGAUAGGUCAUCUGUAUUUCUUUCCCCUUGUAUCUAAAGCACGUAUUCAUUCUUUCAGUACAUAUCAAUUUAGUCUCAGAUUUUGCACAAGGUUUUGGAUAUAAAGCAAUGAAAGAUAGACAAAUAGUUUGUGUGAAAAUUGGCGAACACACCAUGUGCAGUGGCAGCAUUUAAUAAAGACAGCAGGGGGAAGCCAAGAGGCUUCCUGGAGAUGAAAUCUUAGCUGAAUUUUGAUGGCUGAAGAAGAAUCUACCAAGUGACGUAGAAUGAGGAAGGGAUUAAAAGCAUUCUUGGAAAAUAAACAGCAUAUGCCAAGCAAAGAAGACACUUGAAGGAAGUUGAAAUAGUAUUCUGUAGCUAGAAUGUGAGAUGCACCAGGAAUGGCCAUGUCAGGCUGGAGAGAAUGGAAGUUAGCCACAAGGAGAGAAAUGGAAGGAUUUUGAAGAGUAUAUGAGUUUUCUA
rnacentral:lncRNA from 1 species